AUUUCUUCUUUUAACUUUUUCCUCAUUUUUUCCGUCUUGGAUCUGAUUCUAGACUCUGGUUGGGUGUUAUGUAUGUAAUUCUUUCUUGUAUUGGACUGUGCCUUACUUCUAUCUUAAUUAUAUCGGUGUAAUAUUUUCCUCGCUGGCUUUCUUUAUGCACUCCUCCAUCAUCACGCAACCACCCCUACACUUUACCUACCAUGGUAGUGAAUCGUGUUUAAAUUUAUAUCUUGCAUGCUGAAAUAAGAUGUGAUUUUGUUGAACACUCUAUGCAGUUAAAAAGGCGGAGAAUGUUGUGGGCGUUGUACCUCAUGCGAGAUCCACUUUUCACCAAGUAUACCAGGUAAUUAUGUGUUUUCUUCUAGUUACAUAUGCUUCUGAUGGUUCCGCUAUUUACUAACUAAUUCCUCCAAUGCGAACUUGGAAACAAUAGAAUGAUGCUAAUGCCAUCUGUCAUUGCAGGCAAAAACUUGAAAGCACUCAAAGGCUAGUGCAAACCGUUCCCAUUCUUGGAUUUGUUGCAGGUAUGUUUGAACUUUCAAGACAUUCACGGAGUUCAGAUUUUUGCUUCUAUUUUCACAAUAUAUUGACAUUUGCUGGUCUUGAAAUGCAGAAAAAUUAAUUGAAAUUCUUAUUGGAGUUCAAACGCGUUUCACAUACACGUCUGGUUCAUAACAGGGUGAAGCUAUCAGGAGAAAUUUGUAGCUUGUAGCUUCUGCAUUUAAGAUAUUUGCAGUCUCUUUCCUUAUUCUUUUUCUUGGGGAUUUCGUUUCGUGGCAUAGUUGAUCGAUUUUUGUUGUUUGGGUAUGUUCCAAAAUUGUCAGUUUUCCUUUUUUGGUAUAAUUAUCUGGUAUCCAAAACUCACUUUCCCAGCAUUAAAGAGGAAAGCAAUCUCGGUUUCUCCGAAAUUGUCUAAGUAGAUCAAUCCUUUAUCAUAGUUCAGUAGUGAAAUGAAUGGUUCAACAAUUACAUCUUAGUGUAGCCUUCAAUGUAACAGGCCAGAACCAGAGCCAGAGCCGGCUUUGGGUAAAGCCUCUAAAGUCUAGGCUUUAGGCCUCCAAUUUCUGUAUAAUUAUAAUUAGGUAGUUUUUGUAAAAGGAAUAAAAAAUAAUACUAUAAAAGUAAAAAUAAUUUUUAAAUUUUGAUUUGACCAAAAAAUAUGCUCAAAAUUUAUGAAGAGAUGUGACGUAGUAAGCACUAUUUUUUAAUAUGAACAUUAAUCAAUUUGAAUAUGUUAACUAGAAAAUCAUGCUUAAGAUUAAUAAUGUCUCAAGAAAGACCGAGUGCAUUAAGUAUAUUAUCAAUUGAAAAAGAAUUACUAAAUGAAAUCAAUUAUAAAACAAUUAUUCAUAACUUUGUAUCUUAAGAAGUUGGGAAAAUAAAUUUUAAGAAAAACAUUUAAGGGUCACUUGUUGAAAGGCCACAAAAAGUAUUGAGCCGCCCCCGGCCAGAACGUCCUCUUAGCUGUACGUUGGGUGUAAGUGCUUGAACUGAAAUAACAGCAAAUUGGACAUUUACCAACAAUCUUAAUCCACAGCAGCUCCGUUGUGAACGAGAACGUUGAAAGUGCUGGCUAUCACAGAACUGCUGCCUCACCUCAACUUCUAUUUCCAAUUUUACUUCCACUCACUGUGCAAUAUGAAACAAAAGAUUCUCCAACCCUUUUUUGUACUCGUCUAUUCCUCGAUCAACUAGAUGGGUCCUCCAAAUGCAGCACCCCUUGGAACCUUCCUGCAAGAAGGCAGAGCAAUAAUUAAGCAUUUUCAAACAGGUAGGCCACAACACAUUACGGAACAUGAAAAAGAAAACAAAUUGAACGAUUUUCUGACCUUCAAAUGAUAUUUAAAUACAAAAACUGGUUAAAUCAGGGCAUUGGAUCUAUAUAGAAGGUUAUGUUGUACAACACUAUGGUUGUGAAUCCGCAUAUUCAUCAUGCGUUCUGUAUAAUAGGUACUUAAAAGCAAAUUCAUCAUGAGUUCCAUGCUUUUGAAGGUGUAAAGCCAGAAUAUUCCAGAAAAAAGCACAUUAGUAGACAUGGCAGCCAAUAGAUAGGAUGCAUCGCGAACAUAAAUAAAAGAAAACAACAUAUGAGAGGAUUGUUGGGUAAAUUUUCUCUUAUAGGCCUUCGUGAGAGCUAACAGCAAACUUAAUAGCUGCAUUUGUUUUCAAAAGACCACUCUACAGUCCGCACCAGAAGAAAAGAUGCAGAUUUUACACUGAGCAUUAUUAAUGUGCAUCUUUAGAAUUACAACACAUGAUCAUCAAGAUGGAACAUUGCCAAAUUCAUGAAGUGCAAGUGCAGUGUUGAGUGUACAACACCUCAUAAGGAGGCACCAAUUUUUCACAUUACAGACUACAAAACAGAAACUGGGUGAAAUCACAGUAUGUUUAGGGACACACCUUCAACUGGAAAACAGUUAGGUUAUUUAGUUUCAUGCACAAGCAUCCACUUUAAUAUGCUAAUAGCAUAUACCAAAUACUUUAUCCAAAUAUAUUAUCAAAUAGUUCAACCAGUUCAUAAAAGUGAAACAUCAAGACAAUCUUGAAAGUUGUCACUAUUGACAUGAUGUCCAUAGGAGAAGGCCAGAAAAAACAAAAGACAUAUUAAGUACAGAUAAUUACUGCUCUAAACUCCCACAAACAAGAAAGUCUGAUUAAAUAAACAAUGAUGAGACAGGAGGGACAGAAAAGGAGCUAUACUACCUUUUCAAUCUUGAACAGAACAUCACCAUGCAGGUCUAACAAUUUACUGUUUCAAGUCAGAAGAAAAAAGGGAUGAGAAUGAGCUAUAUUUAGAUAUCCAACGCUCCAUCCUAUCAUCCCGUAAGUUUGGAGAAGGAAAAGAUGUUGAGUAUGUGGUUCCCUUCUAUGAAAAUAUGUUUCAGAAUUCAGAUCAUCACACAUGAAUUGCCAGGAGAUGACUUGCUACAUAGAUAUAAGAACAUAUCAUUUAGCAAAAAUAACAAACCGCAGGCAAAGUGUAUUGAACAAAGUUACAAGAAAAAGGACAAGAGAUGAUUUUCCACAAAAUACGAUAGAUGCAUUUAGGGAAAAACUCAACAGCGACAUGUCAUAAUUAUUUAAGUCCACGAGAAGCCAACUUUCCAUGAUUAUUUGUCAUCAAAUAAAUGAGAACGAAUAGGCAAAAAUGGGCCAAAAUAAAGAUAAAAUUUUAGACAUUUCACUGAAAUAUAAUGAUAACCUGGGCGAGAAUCAGGUUUUUAGUCGCUAAUGAAACACAAAUAUUUCUGAGACUGAGAAAUCAGUUCUAGACUGUCUUUAUAUACUAUAGAAAUGGAAACUAAGGAGAAAGUAAUGCCUGGCCAACUCAAAUAUGUCUCUGUCAGUACAAGGAGGACAAAGGAUGAGCAUCAGCUGCCUGUGAGACACUGCUUUGGUUUGGUUCAGUUGCUGGAAUAGUAUUAGCAAGCUGAUAUAGCAGAGGUAUUGUGUUUGGCAACCCCUUGGAGCCUUCCAAAUAUGGCGGUGGCCUAUAACCAUCACAAUGUGUUGUGGUCGGCAACUCCAUCAGAGCCUUCCAACUAUGGUGGUGGCCUUUUAGCAUCACCAGGUAUGGUGUUCGGCGAGCCCUUGGAGUUUUCCGUGAAUGGUGCAGGCCUAUAAGUACCACCGGCCAUGACGCUUGGCCCUUCCAAGUAGGUUGGUGGCGUAUGAGCAUAUCCAUAAAAUUGACCAACAUGACCUCCCAUUGAACCCGCAACAGGUCCAUGCAAUACCAUAGGGGGCAUAAAAUAACGAUAAUUGUGGCCAGCAAUUCCACCACCUUGUGGCAGCCAUGGAUUUAAAAAAUGUGUGUGUUUCACUUCCUUGUUGCUCAACCACACAGUUCCAUCAAUUUUUCUCUUAUGCAAUCCGGCAUUUUGCUCUGCUGCCUUCUGAUCAGCUAUCUGCUUAUCGAAUUCAGCAAUUUCUUUCUGCAAGCCUAUUAUCUUCUUGUUGAUUUCCCAUCCAGGAAGGACCUCUGAAGGAUCAACCUCAUGACUUCUCAAACAUUUGUUGAUCGAUUUAAGAUCAGAUAAGUACUUCCUUUUUGCUCUAAUAUUCUUUUGAUGUGCACUUUGUAAUCCAUCCAUUUUUUCAAAUGAUUCUUUCGACUCUCUAACAAAUGUUGUCAAAAGUGUCUUAGGGUUAAACUUCUCCUGCAUUCCAAGAUCAGAGGCAGUAUUAACAGCUCUAAUUACCGCCUUAUUUGCUACCAUUUCCUCUAUUAUUUCUUGGAACUUGGCCAUGAUAACAUUUGAUCUUCCGAGUGCAUUGUAAACCCACUUAACGUUACUUACCUGAAGCAAAUUUCUGAUAUUUCCAUUAGUAAAUUUAUCUGGAAUCCCGAAAAAUCCAAUAAGCAACAGCAAACCCCGGGCAUCAAGUUCAUGAGGCUUUAUUCCUUCAGAAUUCAUCCUCUCCAACCACAAUAAAGCUGCUUGCUCCGCCUCUACUUUCACCCAUUCCUCAAUCUCAACUACCUUAUUAUCGAUUCCUUUCAUUAAUAACAAGCACUCCAAAAGCAACACUUUAGCUUUCCUUCCCCAGAAUAAAGGUGAGUCAUUAUCUUUCUUCGCAACAGCUUGAAGAUAAAACUUGCCAAUACAUUUAAAUACAAAGGUUGCAGGAUUAGGCGAAAGUGUCAAUGCCUUGGUUACUUGUUCACGCAGUCCUUGAAAAUCUGAGAUAUGUGUCAUCAUGUACUUCCGCAUACGACGAUGGUCCAUCCUUUCGCAGAACAUUUCCAACUCUGAACGACCCGAUUUCACCUCCUCUCCUUCACCCUCCCCCUUACGAUUAUCCAUCGUUUCGCAGACGAUUUCUAACUCUGAAUGAGGUAAUUUCAGUUCUGAACAAGGAGGUUUAGGAGAUUUCACUUCCUCUCCUUCGCCUUCGCCUUCGCCCUCCCGAUCGUCCAUCAUUUCGCACACCAUUUCCAACUCUGAACGAGGCAAUUUCGGCACUGAACAAGGAGGUUCCGGAGAUUUCGCUUCGUCUCCUUUGCCUUCGCCCUCCAGAUUAUCCGUCUUUUCGGAGACGAUUUCCAACUCUGAAUGAGGUAAUUCAGAUUUCACUUUCUCCCCUUCGUUUUCGCCUUCGCCCUCACCGAAUUCUUCUUUUACCACUUCCGUUACCUCUCCCUCGACUUCUUCUUCUUCUAGAUCUUCAGAGGGGUCCGAUUCCCAAGAUGAUUCCGGUUCCGUUUCUGGUUUUGGUGCUGGCUCUGAGGCUGCAACUGCUGGUAAUGAUGACGUAGCGGGUAAAGGAGGAGGCAGCAAUGAGUUGAUCGAGGUUCGAAUUGAAUCAAUAUGCCGUUGUAGAUCAUUGAAGCAUUGUUGGAAAGCGGAAAGGGAGUCGGAGAAUGUGCGGAGAUUGGCAGUGAACGAUUCCUGCGAAUGUAAUUGUUGCAAUUGAGCGGCUAAUGGUGGCUGCGACGCCGGCGUUGCUGCGGCGGAAUUGUCCAUCAGAUUCACGGGAGGAUAAGUGCAGUAAUAAUCCUUUACCCAAAAUUGUUAUACUACUACUUUUGAUUCGGGAAGACCACAGUUUACCCCCCUUCUCUUUUUCUUUUAACCAAAAGUCUUUGAAUUUAUAAAGAGGGAAAUUUAACACUUUUUUGGAAUUGUGAUUGAUGCUACCAAAUCCUAGUCUACGUUUGACAUUGAAACAAGGAUGAUAUUAGAAAUAUUUUAUAAUUUUUUCAUGUUUUAUUAGUUACAUUUUUCCUAACAUUUCAUAUUUUGAUUGUAUCCUCUUCGUUAUUCUAUAAUAUACCUAUUUUCACCUCUUAAACACCCCAUUUUCAUCCCCUCCUACUCCUACUUCAGUUGCAACCCAAAAGUGAGUUUCUUAGUCGAGCUGAAGGCAAGAUCAAUUUUUUGUUCGAGGUUCUUGAUACCCGAAUCGGAGAACUAUCCACAAAACCGCUUUAUGCUCCAAACUCGAGAAGAAGUUUUUUAUACGUAGUAGGUAUUACUAGGGGUGGGCAUCGGUCGGUUUGGUUCGGUUUUGUGUGUUAUCGAUUGGGUUUAUUGAUUUUCGAUUUUUA
rnacentral:lncRNA from 1 species